GGAAGGAAACAAAGCUUAAGGCAGUGAUUGAUAGGUUAUUUCUUGGACACAGCUGAACGUAUACUGUGCGCCUGCAACUUUCCGGUGGUUUCGGACCGGACUUCAGUGAAGCCAGUGAAGUCGGUCGACUUGCAGAACUUCCUUUCAGAGGGGCGUACACAGCACCGCGGCCGUGUGCCUGUGAUCUCCUUCUGAGUUUGAAAAAGAAGAUCCUAGACACCGAGCCAAAUAUGUUUGCAUAAACCGGGAGACUUGUGGCUCUAUUUUGUAACAGCUUGGCGCAGGGCAGCUGGUUUGGAGAUGUCUCUGUUCUUCCCUUGGUGGGGGUGCCGGAAAAAAUGUGCUGCCUGGGCGAUCGAGGUUGGGGCAAAAGCGUUGCAAAGGAAAAGGUGGGAGGACUCUACUUUCACAUUUCCCAAAAGAGUUUUACCAUAAGACUAUUUCUGGAUUGUUCUAACGUGAGGAUAUUGGGAGCAUUUUGAAAAUACUGGAGGAAAAGCUGUCACUGGGCGAUUUAAAUCCGGAGGAGAAUCGCUUGAACCCGGGAGGCAGAGGCUACAGUGAGCCGAGAUCGCCACUGCACUCCAGCAGGGCAUUCCUGAAAAUAAGAGGAGGGACAUAUCCAACUAAGGUUCCCCUUGUCGGCAAAGCCAGGCGCUGAUAGCGUUAUGGCUGCCAUGAGAGUCAGCAGUAUCCCAGCUUCCAAGGAUGGGUGUAAGGUGGGGGUGAGGAAGAAAAGGAACUUGAAGCUGCCUCCUGUCCCAGAAUCACAAGACAUCUGUUAAGCCCUUACUACCUCAUUCACUCCACUCACAUUAGGUUGACCCACUUGGGCAGCAAGACAAGCAGGCCUGCAAACUUCCUUUUCUUCAUCAGCCACAGAGACAUCCUCAGCUAUUAUUCUGGAUUAAGGCAGAGAUCUCCAAACAGCAGACUAAGAUCAGCCUCUAGAUCUCAAAGCCUUACUGUUAUCUCUCCAAGUCAGUGGCUGAUCUCAGAGAAGCUUCUGAAUAGUGACUAGCAAAGAGUCACUCAGGCUACUUACAAAUCCAGGACAGCAGCGUUUUUUUUUUUUUCUUUUUUAGAGACAGAUUCACUCUGUCAUCCAAGCUGGAGUUGCAGUGAGCCGAGAUCACGCUAGUGCACUCUAGCCUGGGUGACAGAGCGAAACUCUGUCUAAAAAAAAGAAGUUAUUUUUUAUCAAUAUAUAUUAACAUGCAAUGGAUUUAUUAUUAUUAUUAUUUUAUUUAUUUAUUUUUUACUUGAGACAGAGUCUUGCUCUGCCACCCAGGCUCCUGUAAACAUCUGUCCAGGGCCUGAGCUCAGAAGGCAGAAUCCGUCGUGGAGCGUGUCCAACUCCUACCCCAAGAGCAGCCUCCAUGUUUACCCACGGACUGGGCUCACACACAGGCAGGCAGCUCCGAGCUCUGAGCACCUCAGCAUCCUUGGACUCUGAG
rnacentral:lncRNA from 10 species